AACUUGCAUUGGGCUGCAUAUGUGCCGUGUGGUCUGAGUGUCUGACCAACGUCUGAUGCAUGCAUGCUUGCAGCCUGGCCGGGCUGUGCUGCUGCUGGUUGCUGGAGCAGUGCUGCUGCUGCAUUUGUUGCCCCUGAUGAUAAGGAAACGGAGCUCAAUCGGUUGGAGAGGGCAAAGAUACACCGGCUAAGAGGCGACGUGCUGCAGUGCUGCUGCUCUGCAUGAACCAAUGCUAUAGCUUCGCUCUCUCUGAAAUUCAAGCUGCUUGCAGCCGUGUGAUGUCUGUAUGUGUGUAUGCGCCAAAUAAGCUGUGGCUGCCGUCGUCGAGCCCGAGCUGGGGUGGCUUACAGUGAAAAGUAAGAAAGAUAGUAUGAAUUGAAGGUUGGGUUUUAGGAGCUGACAAAUUUAAGGUUCUGCAAUCACUGGACCUAUCGGAAAGGAGUGUGCUUAUCUGUGGCCUAGGAUAGCUAGUGCGGCAAAUGCGAUCGUCUAAUGGAAGCAGCUUGUUGAAGUUCAAUCAACAGCAUUUCCUUGUGUUCAAGAAGUGAGCGAAAGGUCUUAGCUAGAUGAGCUUUUGUUUCCCUGGAUGGUGUUUGUGUUGCCGGAUCGUUUUCCCUGUUGGCUUUGAAGUUGUUAUAUCGAUGAGAGCCUGGUACUUAGCCUGACGUUCAGCAGAAUUCAAUGUUUACAUGUUCUGAUGUCGCGUGCUAUUUUAUUGAUAUUGUAUUGCACACACAAUGGUUACAAAGAUCAAAUUAUGCACUAGAUCCCCA